GGCCCCAUGGUCUAGUGGUCUAGGACGCCAGGUUCUCAUCCUGGAGGACGGGGGUUCGAAUCCCCCUGGGGUCACCA
rnacentral:tRNA from 2 species